AGGGGAUGGCUUGCAAAGGCUGCAGACAAGAGAUCUGCAGCUUUUGCUAGCGGUUUUAGAUAAUGAAAAAAAAUAUAUAAAUAACUAUUUAGUAGGUAUAACUCCAAUUAAAACAUGUAUGCCUCUAAUUAUGCAUUUUGUUUAAAAAAUGUGGGGGUAUAUCUAAAAAAACAGCUUGUAAAAGCUGCAGAUCUCUUGUCUGCAGUCUUUGCAAGCCAUCCCCU